rnacentral:rRNA from 1 species
CAAUAGCGUAUAUUAAAGUUGUUGCAGUUAAAAAGCUCGUAGCUGGAUUUGUGGCGUACGGUGGGUUCCGGGCACUUGUUGUCUGAGUAACUUGCUGUUGCCAUCCUUGGGUGGAACCUGUGUGGCAUUAGGUUGUCGUGCAGGGGAUGCCCAUCAUUUACUGUGAAAAAAUUAGAGUGUUCAAAGCAGGCUUAUGCCGUUGAAUAUAUUAGCAUGGAAUAAUGAGAUAGGACUUUUUUGCUAUUUUGUUGGUUUGCGCAAAGAGGUAAUGAUUAAUAGGGACAGUUGGGGGUAUUCGUAUUCCAUUGUCAGAGGUGAAAUUCUUGGAUUUUUGGAAGACGAACUACUGCGAAAGCAUUUACCAAGGAUGUUUUCAUUAA